rnacentral:rRNA from 1 species
GACGAACGCUGGCGGCGUGCUUAACACAUGCAAGUCGAGCGGGAUCCAACCGGUGGCAACACCGGGGAAGGUCUAGCGGCGAACGGGUGAGUAACACGUGAGCAACCUGCCCCGAAGACUGGGAGUAACACCGGGAAACCGGGUAGCUAAUACCGGAUGUCGUCAUUAGGCCGCAUGACCUGAUGAUGAAAGGAAUUCAUCGCUUCGGGAGGGGCUCGCGGGCUAUCAGCUUGUU